rnacentral:lncRNA from 1 species
UGACCUUGCGCAUGAAUGUCGCAAAUCUCGAUCACAUUCGUCGUGGAACUGUCUUUUCGGACGUUGAAAAAUCUGAAUCCUGAUUCAUUUCACUAUGUUCUUGUUUGGGGCCGUCUUUUUCCUUCUCAAUUACUGUCUUAGUUAUGCGAAUGGAAUAAUAUGUGGCAGUAUAAAUUGCACACGGGGUGAAUAUGACAGAGCAUGGUGUUGUGGAGAGGACAAACGAAAAUGCUGCAGGGAAUCUUCAUCCUCGGUGAACAUUUGGUAUGUCUGGGUGAUUGUUGUGCUAGUUGUGGUUGGUAUCAUCGCCGGGAUAGUGCUUUUUGUUCGGUAUCGUCGACGCCGUGCCAGGGCUGGUGCCCGUGGCGCCUUCGAUCAAUUGCGAUAAAACAAAUAUUUUGUUCACCACUUCAUGGAUUAUAAGUAUUACAACUUUUAGGGAAAGUAGCUUUCUGUGAAAUGUCCUUAAUGAUUGCUGGGUUUUUUAGUAUGGUACUGUAUUUUUGUAUUGUGUUUUUUGACAUAAAAUAAGUCUCGAGAAACUUUUGACAAAUUAGUGCGCUGCCUCUUUGAGGCUCCUUCCCAUAGCUCCAGUGCUAUAGCUCAGUGCUCGAUCCCAAUGACGUAAUUUAUUUGCAAAUUCGAGAUUCGAGAAUCACGAGACAUCUUCAGGAAAAGUGUUUCAUUUUUCCGAAUUUUCUGGGACUAAUUUUUGCGAUGUUUUCCUUGUUUUUGGUUUCUUUUGGCGUCUUAACAUUCCUCCCGUUUAUGAGAGCAAAUCUGUAUUGUGGUGAAUUUAGUACCUAUGGAGAAUAUUGUAAUCCACAUUCGUAUCAGGAGGCUUAUUGUUGUGGCGUUAACGAUGCGAAUUGCUGUUAUGAUACAGACGUCGCCACGAUCUGGUGGUUUUGGGUUUUGAUGAUCUUGUUCAUUGGUGUCAUCAGCACUUUGAUAGCUGUUUGUUGUCGCCGUCGUCGAAUACAAAGAGCUGGUUAUGUUGUUGUGCGAGGUCGAAAUGUGGCACCUACGGCUGUUGUCACAACAAACCAAUCUCAUAUCGCACAGGUGGCACCUCCUGGAACAGUCUACCAGCCUUAUCAUGGUCCUCCUGCUUACCAAGGCUACCAACAUCCCCACCAUGGUGGUAGGAGUGCAUAUGGCAAGCCUCCUCCCUAUGCUCCUCCUACUGCCCCACCACCCACAUAGAAGUAGUGCUCUUAUUGUGGAGUUUUAUUGUGAACUUGAGCUUUAGACUAAUUUUGAUCUUGGACUUUGAAAAGGAAAUUUCAUUUUGGAACGAGCAUACUAAAAUUAGUAAAAUUGACAAGUUUAGCAGCGAAAUGUUUUAAAGAAGAGAAAACACAGCCAUGAAAAGCCGGUAAUUUUGUAUUUGUGUUACGGAAGGUGGGCGAUCAAAUUAGUACACAUUUUACAACUUCACAUGACUAUAUUUCCGCAUUUUACAAAAUUUUGCAACUCAACUCAUGUGGUUGUAGAUGUGAAUUGUAAGAAUUUUAUUAUGCUCCUAGUCUAAGAUUGGGUCACAUUCCUUGUUUAUUUACCUAGACCAAAAUUUAGUCUAAAGAGCAAACCGUUCAUUGUGUAUAUACAUUAAUAUAAUGAAAUUAGUUAGAAAAUAAUUAUAAUAACUUGAAAUUUUGCUGGACUAA